GAAGACCUAUGGAAACAAACAACACAAACAGAAGGUGUUGAGCUCCCCACCUUCAGGACGUAUGACACGGAUCAGUGAAGGUGCUCCGCAGGACAGACUUAUUUAGCUAGUCUGUAAGACAGUCUGUGAUUAUAGAGUCGAAAUGCUACACGCCCAAUCCUGCAAGCCGCCGUUUGGUUGCAUUUGACACAGAAACCUGACCAAGCCUGUCCGCCUCAGUCGAUACUAUGCGUUCAUUCAGAGGCGUGUAGUGCCGAAG
rnacentral:misc_RNA from 1 species